ACGCUCGACACCUACGGGAGCAGCAGUGGGGGAUAUUGCACAAUGGGGGAAACCCUGAUGCAGCAACGCCGCGUGAGGGAAGAAGGUUUUCGGAUUGUAAACCUCUGUCCUUGGUGACGAUAAUGACGGUAGCCAAGGAGGAAGCUCCGGCUAACUACGCGCCAGCAGCCGCGGUAAUCUGAGCGGGCUGGCAAGGC
rnacentral:rRNA from 1 species